GACGUAGGGGGCGAGCGUUGUCCGGAUUUACUGGGCGUAAAGCGCGUGUAGGCGGCCUGCUAAGUGGCGUGUGAAAGCCCACGGCCCAACCGUGGGAGGCCGCGCCAUACUGGUGGGCUUGAGGGCGGCAGAGGGUGAUGGAAUUCCCGGUGUAGCGGUGAAAUGCGUAGAUAUCGGGAGGAACGCCAGUGGCGAAGGCGGUCACCUGGGCCGUCCCUGACGCUGAGACGCGAAAGCUGGGGGAGCGAACGGG
rnacentral:rRNA from 1 species